rnacentral:lncRNA from 1 species
GUGCCCUACCUCACAUCCACUUCCCCCUGGCCACCUAUGCACCAGUCAUCUCUGCAGAAAAGGUAUACCACGAGCAGCUGUUGGUGGCAGAGAUUACCAAUGCCUGCUUUGAGCCUGCCAACCAGAGUUGAUAUCAAUCACCAGCCUCCCACUGUGGUGCCUGGGAGUGACCUGGUAAAGUGCAACGUGCCAUGUGCAUGCUGAGCAACAUGAUAGCCAUCACUAUGGCCUGGGCCCGCCUGGACCACAAGUUUGACCUGAUGUAUGCCAAGAGGGCGUUUGGGCACUGAUAUGUGGGUGAGGGCAUGGAGGAGGGUGAGUUCUCCGAGGCCCGUGAGGAUAUGACUGCCCUGGAGAAGGAUUACGAGGAAGUGGGCAUGGGUAGUGUGGAG